UACGUAGGGUGCGAGCGUUGUCCGGAAUUAUUGGGCGUAAAGAGCUCGUAGGCGGCUUGUCACGUCGGGUGUGAAAGCUCGGGGCUUAACCCCGGGUCUGCAUUCGAUACGGGCUGGCUGGAGUGUGGUAGGGGAGAUCGGAAUUCCUGGUGUAGCGGUGAAAUGCGUAGAUAUCAAGAGGAACACCUGAGGUGAAGACGGGUUGCUGGGCUGACACUGACGCUGAGGCGCGAAAGCUAGGGUAGCAAACGGG
rnacentral:rRNA from 1 species